rnacentral:lncRNA from 1 species
GCCCAUACCGCAUAUGACUGUUUUUUUAUUAAUCAUUUGUUGACCUCCAAAACCUAUAUAGUUUUCAUAGCUAAUACGGCUUUUUAUUGUCUCUAUUUUAAAGGUUUCAUUGCUUUUUCAAUUUUUUAUUGUUUGGGGAGAAUUUACAAUUUUUUUUUAUUUUUUAUAGACAUCAAAUUGUUGUCUAGAUGCCCCUUUCUAGUUUUUAUUGUGUAAUUGUGUUAUGAUUGCUCUUUUACAAAUACUACUGAUACACAAGGAUGUUGAAAUAUUUCCUUGGUCUUGUUCUUAUAAGAUUUUUCAUAAGGCCUUGUUUGUCUUUCAUUGACCAACUUUGAAAAACAUUUUGUCGGGAGGGGGCAUUAAUCUGUAUUCAUUUAUUUAAGACAUCCUAACACAAUAAUAUUCACUUUUGGUUAUAGUGAUUAUAUAAAUCUUAAAAACACUGCUAGUUUGCUAGUUGUCUGUAUUUUUUCAGCACGAGAACUCUAGUAAUUCAA